AAAACCAACUCAAAAUGAAAGUUAGAAUACUUCCCUAGAUUGGUGUCUGUGUUAGGCCAAUCAGGGUGUUCUGGAAUUAAUUUUCGAUUUAAUCAUGAUCGUUCUGGAAUUUGAUAAUGGAUAAAUUUACAGUUUGUUCGUGAAGUAACACAAAUUUAGACCUAUGCUUAGCGCUUAGGGCCGUAGCAGUGAGGGUUUUUCAACAUGCCAAUAGGGCCGUAGCAGUGAGGGUUUUUCAACAUGCCAAUGCCUGCCAUGACACGGGACCUCCGUUUUUAAAUUCACAUCCAAAAGACCUGUGAUUCUCAUUUCUAAAUGCAGAGCAUUUACCCGAGUUUACAUUUUAGGUUUGACGUGGUCAUGGCACAAGCGGGGUAUGAACCCACGACUUCCCAGUUACGAAGCGAAUGCUCUACCACUUAGCUACCGCAACCGGUCAUAUGAAAACAGCUAUCAAAGAUAGAGCUAACCUCUACAUGUAACAAACAUGGCAUCAAAUAGCACAGGAAGCUCAUUUCUUCAUACAACAAGGAACAAGGAGUAAUUUUCACGGACAGAAUUUCGGAAUUUCUUGCUUUGCAUUUGGAAUAAGAAACCAUUGAAUAAUUAAAUGCAACACAAUCGGAUUUCUGUUUAGCUCAAUAAAGACCCUGAAUAAACUAGUAUGAAAGUGUAAAGCGUUUUCUGUACACAGCCUGACAGGGAAAUAUACUGAAUGUAGGAGUUAAAUCUGUCAACAAGGAAUAUAUUGAGUGUAGCAGUGAUUUCUGUAACAAGGAAUAUAUUGAGUGUAGCAGUGAUUUCUGUAACAAGGAAUAUACUGAGUGUAGCAGUGAUUUCUGUAACGAGGAAUAUAUUGAGUGUAGCAGUGAUUUCUGUAACAAGGACUAAAUUGAGUGUAGCAGUGAUUUCUGUAACAAGGAAUAUAUUGAGUGUAGCAGUGAUUUCUGUAACAAGGAAUAUAUUGAGUGUAGCAGUGAUUUCUGUAACAAGGAAUAUAUAGAGUGUAGCAGUGAUUUCUGUAACAAGUACUAUAUUGAGUGUAAAUUGAUUUCUGUAACAAGGACUAUAUUGAGUGUAGCAGUGAUUUCUGUAACAAGGACUAUAUUGAGUGUAGAGUGAUUUCUGUAACAAGGACUAUAUUGAGUGUAGCAGUGGUUUCUGUAACAAGGAAUAUAUUGAGUGUAAAUUGAUUGAAUAUAUUGAGUGUGGCAGUGAUUUCUGUAACAAGGAAUAUAUUGAGUGUAGAGUAAUUUCUGUGCAUUUGGACACCAGAAUGCAGUACAUGGCCUACAUUUUUUUGACAUGACUUUGAUGGGCUUGCUAUAUGCAUAUUAUCAGUCUUAUUAGGUUUGUAACUGAUAGUCUGCGGAAAUAUAUGGGUUGAUCAAGCCCAUAGACGAUAUGUGCCGGUUUGUGCUAUAAAUAAAUGUUUCAUAUUGUCGAGGACCACAUCACAGCAGACAGUCAAUAUGAUUUCUUGCAAAUUUGUUGUAAAUUUCAGCUGCAUCCACCAUAUUGCCAUCAAUAUUUUUGCAGCUGAUUGUCUAUAGAAAUAUAGCCAAGGUCUUAUGAAUGUGUGUUUUGGUGAAUGAAGUGCUCAUUUUCUGAAAGGAAAGUAUUGGUGUAGUGAAUUAUGGGAUGAAAACUUGUUUACACGACAGAAUGACUAGCUUGGCAGUGAUUGCCAUUUGUGAUAUUGUUGGAGUUUUAUAUGUUAUUAUGUUCCCAAGCUUUCAGAGUUUAGGAACAUAUUGUUUUUACUGUUUCUUCUCCUUCCUUUUCUCCGACAUUUUUGUCUGGGAGUGUUCUCAGAAACCACACAAGAGAUUAAGAUAAAACCUUUCUGAGAUGGCAGUAUAACAUUUGUAGAUGUGCAGAACAAAUGACAUUUUGUCUAUACAUGCAUGCACCACCGCGGUGGUCUGAAGAUUAGAGCUGUGGAGGUUAGAGUGUUUGCCCCACAUGCGGAAGGCUGGGGUUCGAAUCCCGGCCGCAACAGACCUAAGUUGUUAAAACAGGUAGUGAGAGUUCCAUCACCAAAUGCUCAGCAUCAGGUGUGAAUGUCACAGGUCCUUGGAGAUGACCUUAAAAACAUAUGUCCCACGUCACAGUAGGUGUGGCACGCUAAAGAACCCUUACUGAUCAAUAGCCGUAAGCGCUGAGCAAAGGCCUAAAUUUGAAGCCCUUCACCAUUCUUGGUGAUGUCUCCAUACGAGUGAAAAAUUCUCCAGAGAGAUGUUAAACAAGAUACAAUCAAUCAAUUAAUCUAUACAUGCAUGCACGUGCAUUGGGUUUUUGGUACACCAACUUUGGAAUCAGUCUAAACUUGCAUCUUUGUGUUUUUUAAAGAAUUUGUUUGAGAUUUUUAUCUUAUUGUUGGUAAAAAUUCAGACCCGUAACACUGAUUGGCAUGAUCAAAAUUACCAAUCUGCAUGCACAUAAAUAAAUGUUUGCUUCAUUUUGAUUGAAUAAUACAAAAAUGUUUGUAACUCUCUUAUGAAUAAAGGGAAUGAAAUGAGAUUCAUGGCAUUGGUAAUAGAUAAUAUGAGUAUAGAUUGUUGUGACAAAAAACUCCAACACAUACAUGCAUGCAUAUCGUCUUUUGAAGGUUAAAUUUUUUGAGGACCAUAACGGUUUUUGUUUUGUAGUUGUAUCUUGGCACUCUUUACAAUUUACUACGGUCAAAAGUACUGGCCAGCAUGUGUGCGAAAUUCUGAAUGGAUGAUUUUAAAAUCAUGAUAACUUUCUUAUAUAUGAUGCAAAUGUUAUGAAAUUCGUAUUAUUGGUGUAUGAUUUGAAUGUCUGUUGAAUGACAUCAACACAAGUACAAAGUCGUACUUGUUUGCGUGUGAAUACACAUGCAUUGACUUUCUAUCAAUUCUUUGGUACUAAUUAAAAAUGGCCAUAGCCAUAGCAUUCUUAUAAAAGACUGCAAUCAAAUGAAUCUUAUAUUGGAAGCUUAUCUUAUGAAUGCCUAAUCAAUGAUGUAAACAAAAAUAGUCGGAUCAGAUUCACGUGACUGUAAGUGCAAUGUAUCUGUUGAUGUCUAAAAUCGAGUAUUUGUCUAUAACAUUUUUCGUUUUCAAUGGAAUGUGUAGAUUGUAGAUAUAUGUGAGCACUCUCUACUCUGUGUGAGGCCAAAAUCACCUACCACGAUGUGCAAGCACGUGCUGAAUUUUGACUGGAUGAUACUUCGUCAAUAACCGAAUUGUUUCAUUAUGAAAUGCACUGAAAGUCAUAAUAUCAGUACACAAUGAGAUGCUCAAUGGAUUAGCAUGUUCAAAAUCACUGACAUCAGUGCAUGUGAACGUUAAUUUUGAUUGUAUCUUGGAUAGUGCUUAAACGUCUACAACUUUCUUGCUUUUCCAUGAAUUAGUUUGAAAAUUAUACUGUAUACAGAAUAUCUAUUGAGAUGCUUAACAGAUUGGCAUGGUCAAAAUUUUUGACCAGCAACCACAUGCAUGUGCAGUUCACUUUGAUUGGACAAUACUGACUUUACAUAGCUCUCUUAUAAUUUAAGGAAAUAAAGUGAAAGUCAUACUGUUCUUAAUGAAGGUGUGUUUUGAACGAUUUCAUAGAACUUAAAAUCAAACAAAAUGGCACCACUUUGUAUCUGGGAGAUGUUUGGGGAACAUCUGUUAUGGUUCCUGUUACAAAUAGAACUAGUGUUUUCUUGUUUUUACAGCUUACAAUUUAUUGAUAUACAUCUUGAAAGGAUCAAUAUCUACCUAUCCUCACUUGCCUUUACUGUGUAGUAAUAAGGUUAGGACUCACUUCCUUAUCAAAUUAAAAUCUCCACUGCUUUACAUUGAAUUCAAGCAGAUUCUUGUGAUAGUAAUAUGCAUCAUGUAUAUUUAUGGUAUUUAUUCUGUCUAUGCAUAUGCUUUCUUUUUAGGUGAGAAUCUCUUGAGUUGUUAGAAAGCUGUGUUUGAAUCUUUAGUAUAUCAUAUAUGUAAUAAAAUAUGUUCAAACCAAA